rnacentral:rRNA from 1 species
AACAGGAUUAGAUACCCUGGUAGUCCAUGCCGUAAACGUUGGGCACUAGGUGUGGGGGGCAUUCCACGUUCUCCGCGCCGUAGCUGACGCAUUAAGUGCCCCGCCUGGGGAGUACGGUCGCAAGGCUAAAGCUCAAAGGAAUUGACGGGGGCCCGCACAAGCGGCGGAGCAUGCGGAUUAAUUCGAUGCAACGCGAAGAACCUUACCAAGGCUUGACAUACACCAGACCGUUCUGGAAACAGUUCUUCCCCUUUGGGGUUGGCGUACAGGUGGUGCAUGGUUGUCGUCAGCUCGUGUCGUGAGAUGUUGGGUUAAGUCCCGCAACGAGCGCAACCCUCGUUCUAUGUUGCCAGCACGUGAUGGUGGGAACUCAUAGGAGACUGCCGGGGUCAACUCGGAGGAAGGUGGGGAUGACGUCAAAUCAUCAUGCCCUUUAUGUCUUGGGCUUCACGCAUGCUACAAUGGCCGGUACAGAGAGAGGCGAACCCGUGAGGGUGAGCGAAUCCCUUAAAGCCGGUCUCAGUUCGGAUCGUAGUCUGCAAUUCGACUACGUGAAGUCGGAGUCGCUAGUAAUCGCAGAUCAGCAACGCUGCGGUGAAUACGUUCCCGGGCCUUGUACACACCGCCCGUCAAGUCACGAAAGUCGGUAACACCCGAAGCCGGUGGCCCAACCCUUCUGAAGGGAGGGGGCCGUCUAAGGUGGGACUGGUGAUUGGGACUAAGUCGUAACAAGGUAACC